AGGUUGCUGGUUUGAUCCCCACAGUCACCACCAUUGUGUCCUUGAGUAAGACACUUAACUCCAGGUUGCUCCGGGGGGAUUGUCCCUGUAAUAAGUGCUCUGUAUAAUACAUUGGUACUCAGAAGGUUGCUGGUUUGAUCCCCACAGUCACCACCAUUGUGUCCUUGAGUAAGGCACUUAACUCCAGGUUGCUCCGGGGGGAUUGUCCCUGUAAUAAGUGCUCUGUAUAAUACAUUGGUAAUCAGAAGGUUGCUGGUUUGAUCCCCACAGUCACCACCAUUGUGUCCUUGAGUAAGACACUUAACUCCAGGUUGCUCCGGGGGGAUUGUCCCUGUAAUAAGUGCUCUGUAUAAUACAUUGGUAAUCAGAAGGUUGCUGGUUUGAUCCCCACAGUCACCACCAUUGUGUCCUUGAGUAAGACACUUAACUCCAGGUUGCUCCGGGGGGAUUGUCCCUGUAAUAAGUGCACUGUAAGACACUUUGGAUAAAAGCUUCUGCCAAAUGCAUAAAUGUAAAUUAUUAGAACCAUUAUUUGCUGAUUAUUAACCGAUUAUUCAGCUUGUUGCUUUUUCGACGUGCUUACUAACAAUAAAGAGGACGCCGUGCGUGCGUGCGGUGCAUGCGUACAUGUGUGAGUGGUGUGUGUGUGAUAUGCAGUGUGAGGUGUGUGAGUGGUGUGUG